rnacentral:lncRNA from 1 species
GGAUGUUGAAAGAAUGAAAAAGUAUAUAUGUUUUAUCUUUUUUUUAGGAGAAAUUAUUAACCAUGUAGUGAUAAACUUUUCAAACUCAUGGAUUUGGAUCUUUCAAGUGAGGAAUAGGCAAAAGUACAUAGCAAAUGAGAAAAGACAAAUGUGAAAAUACUCCCUUCUGUAUUCUUUGGGAUGAAACACAUUGGCUUGAUGGAAAGGUAGUUACUUGCUGAAGAAAAAGGGGGCACAAAAUGGGAGAGGAACGAGUUUGGCAACACUAAUAUUUUUGUUUAAGAAGAUGAAGAUGAGGGACGAAAUAAACCGUAAAAGAAAAGUCACAUCAAUAGAUCCACAUUAGCUUACGCGCUCAGACGUGGGUGAAUAACACUACAUUUGCCAGGUCAGCAUUUUGUGUCCAAUAAAUAUACUUUGAUGGUAGUUUUAGUGUCUAAUAGGAAAUAUCCUCAGUUGAGGUGUCUAAAUGAACAAUCAUGACAAAUUAAGGUGGUUGUUCAUGUAUUUGGCCAAAAAAUUAGUUCAAAAUAAAAGGUAUCUAUUGGGUCGGGCUGACCCGCUAACAACUCGGUUCAACCCGAGUCAGUCCGGUCCAGUCCGUUAUUGUUCCUAAUUGUUCGGGUUGGGACGGGUUGGACGGGGCUAGUAACGUUAAACUUUUUUUAAAUGGGGAACCGAACCCGCUAUAACAUCUUAUGCCCUUAACGGGUUUUUACCGCGCCACAGCCCGGUUCAACCCGUUAAUCCAUCCUUAAUUUUUUUAUUAUUUUUUUAAAUCUGACCGUUGUCAACGGUCAAAUACCAAAAAACGACCGUUGGCAACAGCCAUUUCUGCCAAAAACAGCAUUUUUGUAGUUUUAUUUAUAUUUUAGCCUCCACCCCUUAUAAUUUGUAAAUUGCAAUUGUAUCCUUUUAAAACUAUGAAUAUCUCAUUUCUUCUUCAUUAUUCCUCACAAUUCAAUUCAUUUUCUCUCUAAUUCUCUCUUAAUUCUCUUGAUAAUAUUCUUAAUUGCUCAUUAUUUUAAGCUUUCAAGUUUCAACUUUCAAGUUUCAUUACAAAAGUAUUAGUAUCAUAAAUUCCUAAUUCAAUUAUUCAAGUGAAGUGUGGCAUCAAUUAUCAAGUAUCAACUAUCACGUUAUCAAUUGAAUUUUGAGUUUCUACUUUCUAGUUUCUAUAUCAAAUUUAGUGCGGCAUUCGAAAUUUCGGUACACUCGUUCCAUCCCUUUCUCUUUAUUAUUUAGAAUUAUUAUUUGAAUUUUUUAUUUUAAAUUACAUAAUGAAUUUACUUAGGCGGCCAAAAAAGCUUGCACUAGUAAAGGUGGUAAUAUGAAAAAUUUCAAAAGAGUAAGAGGUGGUUCUUCUAGUAGUGCAACACAUGUUUCUGAAAGUUCACUCGAAAAUGUAAAUGUAGAUUAUGAGCUACUUCAAGAAAAUUAUGGUAUUGAUGAUGAUUUUGAUGAUAUCUAAUCACCCGAUAAUUUGAAACACCGCCGCCUGCACCCGGUAAUACUAGUCAAAUAUUAGGGGUGGAAGUGCAAGUAAGCCCCAUUUGCCUAUUAAGAAGAAUCGAAGAUUAAGAAAUAAGUGUUGGAAUUUUUUUGAUAGACUAGAAAUUGAGAAAAAUUAUGUAAAAUGUAAAAUAUGUAAUGAAGUUUAUAAGCACGAGCCCGGUAAGAAUGGGGGAACGUGUCAACUUCGUAGGCACAUGGAAGAAAUUCAUCCUAUUGAUUGGGGAGUAGGCGAUGAAGUUGGGCAAUAAAAAUUUAACCCGAUCACUGGGGGUUAAUGGGUAAAUACGAUAUUUAAAAAGAUCGAGAAGAAUUAGCUAAAAUGAUUGUUUUAAGCUGUUUACCUUUUAGUUUUGCUUCUUCGCCAUAUCUUGUUACUUAUAUUCAAAGAAUUUAUAACCCUAUGUUUAAAGGUACUCCUAGAAGUACUUGUAGAUCUGAUAUCUUUAGGCUUUAUGGACAAUAUCAGACAUAUAUACGUUAUUUGUUUGCUAGUCUUUCUUGUAAAGUUUCUCUUACUUCUGAUAUUGAUCGUGUUGUAAAUGAAAAUGAUUAUUUAACUGUUACAUGUCAUUGGAUAGAUGAUAAUUUUUGUAUGCAAAAAUAUAUUAUUGCUUUUAAAUAUGAUGAAGAUCAAAGUCAUACUGGUGCAUUUAUAAGUAAUACUAUCCAUGAAGUUGCUUUAUUUUAUAAUCUUCCUAAAAAAAAUUAGUGUAUGUCAUUUGAUAAUACUUCUAACAACACUUCUGCUAUUACAUUACUAAAAUUGCAUCUACGCCCACCACUUCCUGAAAUAUUUCAUAUUAGAUGUGUGUGUUGUAUUUAUAGCUUGAUUGUGAAGACUGGCCUUGAAUUAUUUCACAAUGACAUCACUUUAGUUAGGAUAGUUGUUGCUGUAAUUCAAGGAAAUAAUAGAAGUGCUAGAUUAAAUGCAUUUCAGGAAAAAUGUGUACGCUAUGGACUAAAACCAAGACUCAUGCCUAAAGAAAUAGUUACUAGGUGGAAUUAUACUUAUUUAUUCCUAAGAUGUUGUUAUAAAUAUAGAAUGCCUAUAAUUGAAGUUGCUAAUUCUCAUUGCAUCGAUCCUAACCGUCUGUUAACAUCUAAAACUUGGGAUGUCAUUGAAGAUGUUGUAAAAUUUUUACAAAAAAUUUUAUGUGGCUACACUUGAGUUUUCUGAAGCUUAUUAUCCUACUAUUUAAAUGGUUUAGUUUACAUUGCUGAAAUUUCUCUUUUACUACAUAAGUUGACGGCAAAAGAGGGAUAUUCCGAUGUUGUUGAAAUCAUGCUAGAUAAGUUUAAAAAUUAUUUCUUCCCAAUUCCCCCUAUUUACCUAAUUAGUGCUAUUUAAACCCUACUAUCAAAAUGAUAAAGUGUCGCCAAUUAACCAGUGUUUUGUAUACUUAUAUGGAUAUUGGACCAAAUGAAACUCGUGAUAGUGAGACUUGUAUUUCUGAUAUGCACAAACAUUUACAAGUUUUGUAUAAUUAUUAUGCUAACAUUGUUGAUGCUUCUUCGGUUGUAGAUGGCAAAUAUUCCUUCAAGUAAUACUUCAAUAUCUGGAACAAAUUUG